UGGCUACAACAAAGGGAAGCGAAGCCGUAAGGUGGAGCGGNGCCCAAAAAAGUAGUCCCAGUUCAGAUUGAGGGCUGCAACCCGCCCUCAUGAAGUCGGAGUUGCUAGUAAUCGCGGAUCAGCAUGCCGCGGUGAAUACGUUCCCGGGCCUUGUACACACCGCCCGUCACACCAUGGGAGUUGGGAGCACCCGAAGCCGGUGAGGUAACCGAAAGGAGCCAGCCGUCGAAGGUGAGACCAAUGACUGGGGUGAAGUCGUAACAAGGUACC
rnacentral:rRNA from 1 species